rnacentral:rRNA from 1 species
GACAGAGGUCCCGAGCGUUAGGCGGAAUCACUGGGCUUAAAGCGUGUGUAGGCGGAGUGCUAAGUACCUUGUGAAAUCCCACGGCUUAACCGUGGAACUGCUGGGUAUACUGGUUCUCUUGGGCCACUUAGGGGUUACCGGAACAAACGGUGGAGCGGUGAAAUGCGUAGAUAUCAGGAGGAACACCGGUGGCGAAGGCGGCUACCUGGACAGAAACUGACGCUGAGGCGCGAAAGCUAGGGGAGCAAACAGGG